rnacentral:rRNA from 1 species
CCCUUUGGGGUGUGACUGCGUACCUUUUGUAUAAUGGGUCAGCGACUUAUAUUCUGUAGCAAGGUUAACCGUAUAGGGGAGCCGGAGGGAAACCGAGUCUUAACCGGGCGUUAAGUUGCAGGGUAUAGACCCGAAACCCGGUGAUCUAGCCAUGGGCAGGUUGAAGGUUGGGUAACACUAACUGGAGGACCGAACCGACUAAUGUUGAAAAAUUAGCGGAUGACCUGUGGCUGGGGGUGAAAGGCCAAUCAAACCGGGAGAUAGCUGGUUCUCCCCGAAAGCUAUUUAGGUAGCGCCUCGUGAAUUCAUCUCCGGGGGUAGAGCACUGUUUCGGCUAGGGGGCCAUCCCGGCUUACCAACCCGAUGCAAACUGCGAAUACCGGAGAAUGUUAUCACGGGAGACACACGGCGGGUGCUAACGUCCGUCGUGAAGAGGGAAACAACCCAGACCGCCAGCUAAGGUCCCAAAGUCAUGGUUAAGUGGGAAACGAUGUGGGAAGGCCCAGACAGCCAGGAUGUUGGCUUAGAAGCAGCCAUCAUUUAAAGAAAGCGUAAUAGCUCACUGGUCGAGUCGGCCUGCGCGGAAGAUGUAACGGGGCUAAACCAUGCACCGAAGCUGCGGCAGCGACACUAUGUGUUGUUGGGUAGGGGAGCGUUCUGUAAGCCUGUGAAGGUGUGUCGUGAGGC